rnacentral:rRNA from 1 species
AUACGGAGGGUGCGAGCGUUAAUCGGAAUUACUGGGCGUAAAGCGCGCGUAGGCGGCUUAUUAAGUCAGAUGUGAAAUCCCCGGGCUCAACCUGGGAACUGCAUCUGAUACUGGUAAGCUAGAGUUCUAGAGAGGGAAGUAGAAUUUCAGGUGUAGCGGUGAAAUGCAUAGAGAUCUGAAGGAAUACCAGUGGCGAAGGCGACUUCCUGGCCAAAAACUGACGCUGAGGUGCGAAAGCGUGGGUAGCAAACGGAAUUAGAAACCCCUGUAGUCC